rfam:Cajanus cajan CcLG11_2909, whole genome shotgun sequence.
UCCUAUGAUGGCAUGAAAUCUUUGAGACCUGAUUGUCUAAUUUGAUGACAACUACAAGCAUACUCGCUGAGGAU